UGGGGAAUAUUGCACAAUGGGCGCGAGCCUGAUGCAGCGACGCCGCGUGAGGGAUGACGGCCUUCGGGUUGUAAACCUCUUUCAAUAGGGACGAAGCGCAAGUGACGGUACCUAUAGAAGAAGGACCGGCCAACUACGUGCCAGCAGCCGCGGUAAUACGUAGGGUCCGAGCGUUGUCCGGAAUUACUGGGCGUAAAGAGCUCGUAGGUGGUUUGUCGCGUUGUUCGUGAAAACUCACAGCUUAACUGUGGGCGUGCGGGCGAUACGGGCAGACUAGAGUACUGCAGGGGAGACUGGAAUUCCUGGUGUAGCGGCGGAAUGCGCAGAUAUCAGGAGGAACACCGGUGGCGAAGGCGGGUCUCUGGGCAGUAACUGACGCUGAGGAGCGAAAGCGUGGGGAGCGAACAGGAUUAGAUACCCUGGUAGUCCACGCCGUAAAACGGUGGGUACUAGGUGUGGGUUUCCUUCCCUGGGAUCCGUGCCGUAGCUAACGCAUUAAGUACCCCGCCUGGGGAGUACGGCCGCAAGGCUAAAACUUAAAUGAAUUGACGGGGUCAUAGCUGUUUCCU
rnacentral:rRNA from 1 species